rnacentral:lncRNA from 1 species
AACUGACCACUAGGCUUCAUUUCCAGGACCCAGUUUCCCUUUAAUUUGCACUUUAAUAGAUUGGGCUGGGACACUUCCACACUGUGUCGUAGAGGCCUAGCAGGCGCUGCAGUCGGGUGCAAAGUAUUUUAAGGUUUCUAGGUUGUCCGUGCUCAUUUCCAAGCCAAUGCCAUAAAUGAGACCUUGACAUUUGCAAGGCUCAACACAAAGCUUUUUUAUGUCAAAGUGACACAUUUGCUUACAAUGUAUUAGUUUUACUUUCCCAAGCAAGUAUGAAUCGGGGCAAAACAACAUUCCUUUGAAUUUCUUUAGAAGCAUCCAGGUGUCCCUUAAUGUGUCCCAGCAGGGCAGUAUCAGUCAGGACCUACAUGUGGUGAGGUGUUUUUGACCCAUGGGGGAAUUGCAUGGGGCCUGAGGCUCUAACCAUCAAUGUGGAGCCAGAGUCUGCAGGGUGUAGUUGAAAAAGGAGAGGCAGUUGCAGGUGUGUCUGAGCUGGUGUCUCACCUCCAGAGGGAAAGCAGCCAGCUGUAGGCCCCACAAUUGGGCAGAGGAAUGAACGAGUAAACUGAUACAUUCCCCGAACUCCAGUGCAGAAGUUGGGGAGCUAGGAGGAAGCCACCGGCAAGGAUGCAUGCCUGCCAAUCUUCCAAACCAUAAUGUUGCCCACCAACUCAACAGAAACUUUUAACCACUUAAAACUACUUAUUCACUGAGGAGAGAACUUAUUUACUC